rnacentral:rRNA from 1 species
UACGAAGGGUGCAAACGUUGCUCGGAAUUAUUGGGCGUAAAGCGCACGUAGGCGGCUUGGCAAGUCGGAUGUGAAAGCCCACGGCUCAACCAUGGAAGUGCAGCCGAAACUGCUGAGCUUGAGUACUUAAGAGGAUCGCGGAAUUCCCGGUGUAGAGGUGAAAUUCGUAGAUAUCGGGAGGAACACCAGUGGCGAAGGCGGCGAUCUGGGAAGAUACUGACGCUGAGGUGCGAAAGCGUGGGGAGCAAACAGG